ACACUCAGAUGCGAAAGCGUGGGAGAGCAAACAGGAUUAGAUACCCUGGUAGUCCACGCCGUAAACGAUGUCUACUUGGAGGUUGUGGCCUUGAGCCGUGGCUUUCGGAGCUAACGCGUUAAGUAGACCGCCUGGGGAGUACGGUCGCAAGAUUAAAACUCAAAUGAAUUGACGGGGGCCCGCACAAGCGGUGGAGCAUGUGGUUUAAUUCGAUGCAACGCGAAGAACCUUACCUACUCUUGACAUCCAGAGAAGCCAGCGGAGACGCAGGUGUGCCUUCGGGAACUAUGAGACAGGUGCUGCAUGGCUGUCGUCAGCUCGUGUUGUGAAAUGUUGGGUUAAGUCCCGCAACGAGCGCAACCCUUAUCCUUGUUUGCCAGCGAGUAAUGUCGGGAACUCCAGGGAGACUGCCGGUGAUAAACCGGAGGAAGGUGGGGACGACGUCAAGUCAUCAUGGCCCUUACGAGUAGGGCUACACACGUGUUACAAUGGCGCAUACAGAGGGCAGCAAGCUAGCGAUAGUGAGCGAAUCCCAAAAAGUGCGUCGUAGUCCGGAUUGGAGUCUGCAACUCGACUCCAUGAAGUCGGAAUCGCUAGUAAUCGUGAAUCAGAAUGUCACGGUGAAUACGUUCCCGGGCCUUGUACACACCGCCCGUCACACCAUGGGAGUGGGCUGCAAAAGAAGUGGGUAGUUUAACCUUCGGGG
rnacentral:rRNA from 1 species